CUCCUGUGUCGCGACCCUUAAAUCUAUUAAUAUUAUAUCUAUGGUAACAGAAGUUGGUGUCAAAGGCUUACGUUAGCGUGCUUUUCAUGAGUUCGGUACAGUUUGAUGCAAUGAUAUGAUAUGGUGGGCAUUGAGUGGGGAACAUGUACAAAAAUGUAGCUCAGUGUAAUUAAGUAAUGGGACAAUGCGAAUGUGAUCGUGUUUACGUUCUGACUAUAUCGCGCGUGUUUAGAUAGCCUGAUUAUGUGCCUAUAAUAGUUUACCUUCCAAAGCAAUGUAGACACGACGAAAUAGUCAAGGAAAUCGUUUCGAGUGUUGAUCAGUGUUACUUUCUAUGCUUUUUUCUGUCAAUGUCAUACAAAGUUACAAAAUGUGAAGCAUACGAGGAUAUGAAAAAAGGAUGAAGAGUUCUUUAUGGCAUAAAAAUCUACUACACUCCAAGGAUUACCAUUCAUCUACACGAGUAUAGUUACACUUUAAAUUCCAAUUCUUUCAUUUCAACCGUAUUAUUAAUUGCCAAGCUAUUAAAAAAUUUUAAAUGAUAAUUACGUACACUGACAA